GCGGUGGCCACGCUUAGGACGCGAUUAGGUGUAAACGUUUGUGUUUCAUAUCAAAUUGCACCAAUCCCGGCCUGCCUGUGGCCACAGC